CGGAGGAUCCAAGCGUUAUCCGGAAUCAUUGGGUUUAAAGGGUCCGUAGGCGGUUUUGUAAGUCAGUGGUGAAAGCCCAUCGCUCAACGGUGGAACGGCCAUUGAUACUGCAAGACUUGAAUUAUUGGGAAGCAACUAGAAUAUGUAGUGUAGCGGUGAAAUGCUUAGAUAUUACAUGGAAUACCAAUUGCGAAGGCAGGUUGCUACCAAUAUAUUGACGCUGAUGGACGAAAGCGUGGGGAGCGAACAGGAUUAGAUACCCUGGUAGUCCACGCCGUAAACGAUGGAUACUAGCUGUUCGGAGCAAUCUGAGUGGCUAAGCGAAAGUGAUAAGUAUCCCACCUGGGGAGUACGUUCGCAAGAAUG
rnacentral:rRNA from 1 species